AGCCUCAUAGUGUAGCGGUAACAUGUCCUCUACUAUUUCUAUUGGCGUAAAUUUGUAUAAAAGAGGAAGUUUCUUGUUCGAAUCAAGGUGAGGCCA